UAGGUCCUGGGUAGAAAAGUCAAUGGAACAGAUCAAGAUGAUAACUGCACACAAGAUUUCUUACAUGCCAAGAUGCUAGGCUCNAGAGCGUACGUAGUCAUUAUUGAGUAAAUCCGAUGUGUCCAUCAUUCUAGCUAGUGGGUUCUUUCCUAGAGUGUGAGUUAACCCUUUUAUUGUCUUUGUUAGGUCCUGGGUAGAAAAGUCAGUGGAACAGAUCAAGAUGAUAUUGCACACAAGUUUUCUUACAUGCCAAGAUGCCAGGCUUGGUGGGUGGUACCCCUGCAGAACUGUUCCUCCACACAUCUUGUUCCUGGUCCAGGUUGGCUCCGCAGCACAUGUGGCCCUGCAAAUCUAUUCCCUGCUAAUGCUGUGUCCUCCAUCAUUUCACCACGGCAUGUCCGUCCAUCUUUGUAAGUCCUGCUGCUUUCUAAAUCUUACCAGAAUGUCCUUUAGAAAAAUGGGCCAGUGCUGGACAUUUGGGUGGACCAGUAAUGAUGCUGAGACAGGAAGCCACCUCAGUGACACUGAAUACCAGUACUUGCCUGGAGCUCUUAAGGAUUUAAAAGGGAGGCGGGUAAGAGAGAGAUCAAUUAUGUCCAUUGGGGCAGAGACACAUUCCUGAUGGAACUGGUUUUUCUUCCAUUCAUUUGGAUUCAGAAGCAUGUUCUAGGCAGUUAUCUUUGAGUAAAUCAAAGGGACAAAAUGCUUCUGCCUGAAUAUUUACUUAUAUUUUCCUCCUCUACCUCUCCUUCCUCCUCCACGCCUUUUUUCCUCCCCAUAUCCUCCUUUCCUUCCCAUUUCCACCUUUCUUAGUCUCCUGUCUCCCCAUGACUCCACUUCUCUUUUUGCUCUCCUUUUC
rnacentral:lncRNA from 1 species